rnacentral:rRNA from 1 species
AUCGAACGCUGGCGGCAGGCUUAACACAUGCAAGUCGAACGGGCAUCUUCGGAUGUCAGUGGCAGACGGGUGAGUAACACGGGGGAACGUACCCGUCGGUUCGGAAUAACGCAGGGAAACUUGAGCUAAUACCGGAUACGCCCUUUUGGGGAAAGGUUUACUGCCGAAGGAUCGGCCCGCGUCUGAUUAGCUUGUUGGGGGGGUAACGGCCUACCAAGGCGACGAUCAGUAGCUGGUCUGAGAGGAUGAUCAGCCACACUGGGACUGAGACACGGCCCAGACUCCUACGGGAGGCAGCAGUGGGGAAUAUUGGACAAUGGGCGCAAGCCUGAUCCAGCCAUGCCGCGUGAGUGAUGAAGGCCUUAGGGUUGUAAAGCUCUUUUGUCCGGGACGAUAAUGACGGUACCGGAAGAAUAAGCCCCGGCUAACUUCGUG